rnacentral:rRNA from 1 species
UAGAGUUUGAUCAUGGCUCAGAAUGAACGCUGGCGGCGUGCUUAACACAUGCAAGUCGCACGAGAACUCUUUAGCUUGCUAAAGAUAGUAAAGUGGCGCACGGGUGAGUAACACGUGGGUAAUCUACCUCUGAAUCGGGGAUAACACCGCGAAAGCGAUGCUAAUACCGGAUAAUAUCUUUUAAGCUUCGGCUUACCAGAUCAAAGGUGGCCUCUACAUGAAAGCUACUGUUUGGAGAUGGGCCCGCGUACCAUUAGCUUGUUGGUGGGGUAAUGGCCCACCAAGGCAUCGAUGGUUAGCUGGUCUGAGAGGAUGAUCAGCCACACUGGAACUGACACACGGUCCAGACUCCUACGGGAGGCAGCAGUGAGGAAUUUUGCGCAAUGGGGGAAACCCUGACGCAGCAACGCCGCGUGAGUGAUGAAGGCCCUCGGGUCGUAAAACUCUGUCAAGUGGGAAGAACCUGCUUUAUGUUAAUACCAUAUUGCACUGACGGUACCACUGAAGGAAGCACCGGCUAACUCCGUGCCAGCGGCCGCGGUAAUACGGAGGGUGCAAGCGUUACUCGGAAUUAUUGGGCGUAAAGAGCGCGUAGGCGGUCUUUUAAGUCAGAUGUGAAAGCCCGAGGCUUAACCUCGGAAGUGCAUUUGAAACUAAGGGACUUGGGUAUGGGAGAGGGAAGUGGAAUUCCUGGUGUAGAGGUGAAAUUCGUAGAUAUCAGGAGGAACACCGGUGGCGAAGGCGACUUCCUGGACCAAUACUGACGCUGAGGCGCGAAGGCGUGGGGAGCAAACAGGAUUAGAUACCCUGGUAGUCCACGCAGUAAACGGUGAACACUAGGUAUAGCGGGUAUUGACCCCUGCUGUGCCGUAGUUAACGCAUUAAGUGUUCCGCCCUGGGGAGUACGACCGCAAGGUUAAAACUCAAAGGAAUUGACGGGGGCCCGC